rnacentral:rRNA from 1 species
AUUGAACGCUGGCGGCAGGCCUAACACAUGCAAGUCGAACGGUAACAGGAAGACGCUUGCUUCUUUGCUGACGAGUGGCGGACGGGUGAGUAAUGUCUGGGAAACUGCCUGAUGGAGGGGGAUAACUACUGGAAACGGUAGCUAAUACCGCAUAAUGUCGCAAGACCAAAGAGGGGGACCUUCGGGCCUCUUGCCAUCGGGUGUGCCCAGAUGGGAUUAGCUAGUAGGUGGGGUAACGGCUCACCUAGGCGACGAUCCCUAGCUGGUCUGAGAGGAUGACCAGCCACACUGGAACUGAGACACGGUCCAGACUCCUACGGGAGGCAGCAGUGGGGAAUAUUGCACAAUGGGCGCAAGCCUGAUGCAGCUAUGCCGCGUGUAUGAAGAAGGCCUUCGGGUUGUAAAGUACUUUCAUCGGGGAGGAAGGGAGUAAAGUUAAUACCUUUGCUCAUUGACGUUACCCGCAGAAGAAGCACCGGCUAACUCCGUG